rnacentral:rRNA from 1 species
AGUGAACGCUGGCGGUGGGCCUAACACAUGCAAGUCGAACGGCAGCACAGUAAGAGCUUGCUCUUACGGGUGGCGAGUGGCGGACGGGUGAGGAAUACAUCGGAAUCUACUUUUUCGUGGGGGAUAACGUAGGGAAACUUACGCUAAUACCUCAUACGACCUACGGGUGAAAGCAGGGGAUCUUCGGACCUUGCGCGAUUGAAUGAGCCGAUGUCGGAUUAGCUAGUUGGCGGGGUAAAGGCCCACCAAGGCGACGAUCCGUAGCUGGUCUGAGAGGAUGAUCAGCCACACUGGAACUGGGACACGGUCCAGACUCCUACGGGAGGCAGCAGUGGGGAAUAUUGGACAAUGGGCGCAAGCCUGAUCCAGCCAUACCGCGUGGGUGAAGAAGGCCUUCGGGUUGUAAAGCCCUUUUGUUGGGAAAGAAAAGCAGCAGGUUAAUACCCCGCUGUUCUGACGGUACCCAAAGAAUAAGCACCGGCUAACUUCGUG